rnacentral:rRNA from 1 species
UACGAAGGGGGCUAGCGUUGCUCGGAAUCACUGGGCGUAAAGCGCGCGUAGGUGGUUUGUUAAGUUGGAUGUGAAAUCCCCGGGCUCAACCUGGGAACUGCAUUCAAAACUGACAAGCUAGAGUAUGGUAGAGGGUGGUGGAAUUUCCUGUGUAGCGGUGAAAUGCGUAGAUAUCGGAAGGAACACCAGUGGCGAAAGCGGCUUCCUGGUCCAGCACCGACGUUCAGGCACGAAAGCGUGGGGAGCAAACAGG